UAAAAAACAGUAUUAUGGACAGGUAAAGUAUAUACAAAGUACUAGAAAGGAUUCUGCAUGGUGUGUGUUUGAUUAAGAAAUCGAAAUACUAGCAAUUAGUACAAGUGAAAGAAAAUCACACUAAAAGAACAGACACUCUGUCAGGGCCUAAGGAGGCCCACGGAGGGGCUGCGACAGCAGCCACCAUGGGCCCUCCAAGGGAGAUUAGAUAAGGAUAGUUAGAGAUAAGAUUAGAAGAUUAGUUGAGAUUAUUUAGGAGAUUAGUUGAGAUUAUCUAGGAAGGUUAUCAGUUAGUUUGUUGAGAGUUUUUAGGAGAGUUUUAAGAAGAUAAGGAUCUCUAGCUAUAUAGGGACGACCAAGUGGCCUAUUUAUGUAAUCAAUGGAUGAGAAAAUAAAGGAGGCAAGAAUUAGAAGGGAGAAACCCUCCUCUUGCUCGGUCGUGGGCAGAGGCCCCCGGCCGGUGUUCCUGUCCAUCGAUACCCCUCUCCAAUCCCUCACCGAUCUAGCGACCAUAACAUCUGGUAUCGGAUAGCUUGGGUUUCGAUCUGAUCCUAUGGUUUCUGAUGCUAAUUUCGCGGCGUCAUCCUGGCAACCGGCGUCCCCAUCUCCUUGGACUGUGCCGCAUGUCACCUUUGUCACAUCGUCCUGUCAAUCGACGUCCCCAUCUCCAUGGGCUGCGCCGCAUGCCACCUUCGUCACGCCAUCCUGGCAACCGGCGUCCCUAUCUCCAUGGGCAACAUCGCCUGCCACCACAUCUUGGACGCCGGCGUCCCCAUCCCUAGGGACAACGUCAAAUUUCGUCACAUCAUCUUCGUUGACGGCGUCUCCGUCCCCAUGGGCGACGCCACUAGGGGCAGCCACGGCUCAGCAAUCACCAGCUCCAUCGAUGGGGGACUUCUGGACCAACAUAAGGGCUGAUCUCGCAAAGAUGCAAGCCACGCUCCAGAAGGUUGAGCAAGGGCUGCUGCAAAUCAAGGCAGCAGUGCAACAUGAGCAGCACCAGCUGGCGUUGUCCGCACGGCUCCAGACGUUGGCGGUUGUGGGCAUACAAGCUGCUGCUCGUGGCUUCCUUGCACGACGGAGAGUGCGGGAGAUGCGCCGCCAGAUGCUCGAGGCAGCCUUGGUGACGGUUGACCUCGGCACACAGAGGCGCGACCUCGCCCUAUCGGACGACCAUCAACAGCGGCACCGGGCCGCUCUCUCCAAGUGUGAGCAUGGUACGUGUCCCGCUGGUGACGAACUUCAACUCUACGACAGCGGCGGUAGGGAAGGCACUCCCCUCGUCAUCGGCAAGGGCGUACUAUUUAGCGCCACCACAUUCCGCUACCGGCCGCCACGAGGGCACCUCCGCUGGUUAUUGUUGCGACCUACUCCAGGUGCCCCUUCAUGUGCUCCCCUUUCGUCCAGAUGGCAUCCAUGGGAUCCAGGUGGCUGCACACGUGCAAGUCCAAUGCGUGGAGGGUGUCCGCCUUAUCUUAUGGGAUAAAAAAAUCAGAUUCAGAAUAAUAAGAUAAGCCGAGAUGUAAAAGGCUUAUCUUCUAGGUGUCUGGUUUUGGGUCAAGUAGACUCGAUUUUUGAGCACCCGUCAUGCUACAGCUCGAGGACGAGCUGCUUGUCCAGGAGGGGUGUAGUGUCAGGGCCUAAGGAGGCCCACGGAGGGGCUGCGGCAGCAGCCACCAUGGGCCCUCCAAGGGAGAUUAGAUAAGGAUAGUUAGAAAUAAGAUUAGAAGAUUAGUUGAGAUUAUUUAGGAGAUUAGUUGAGAUUAUCUAGGAAGGUUAUCAGUUAGUUUGUUGAGAGUUUUUAGGAGAGUUUUAAGAAGAUAAGGAUCUCUAGCUAGAUAGGGACGACCAAGUGGCCUAUUGUAACGCCCUGAAUUUGGGGGUAGAAUUUUUUCUUCUUUUCUCUCACCAAAUUCGGGCGUUACUCUCUUUUCUCUUUCCCCGUUUGCUCCUUCUUCCCAAUUUCAAACCAGUAUAGCGGCAUGUGUCCGUGUCAUGUAUAAACCAAAACCUAAGUGUCAUGGGUGUUGCAUCAUGCCGAAGCACAUUUCUUUGUCUGAUGAUGAGUGUUCGUCUCGUUCCGUUCUGGAUUUCGGUUCGCGAUUUAAUUCCGUUUAGUGGUCGCGCUCGUCGUGGGUUUUCGAUCCGCGAAGUGGCCCGGCCCAGCCCAAUCUAGUCUAGCCCAGCCGGCCCG
rnacentral:lncRNA from 1 species